GGGGGGACCGGCACCCGUACCCAGCGUUCGCCGGGUGCGAAAAUCAGGCAAGGCGGGAGGCUCUGCACGGUGCUAGGCCUCGACACCCAACACGCCACUCUGAGGGCGAAUGAACCGGCAACCUCUGGCAUGGAAGUCCAGUGAGCUGACCAUCACACCAUGGCAGCAUCAGUGCGGACGAAGUUUACCGCGUGCACGGAGGUGGGCAGAAGCGCCGCUGCUGAAGAUGAAUCGGUGUCCAGCUGACGUUAAAUCCAUGUAAGGAAGUUGAGAGCUCUGACAUUGGUUUUUCUACAUUGCUCUUACCAGGUGUGGCAAAUUUCGGUAAUUGAAGACUGCACACCAGCCAUCGUUUUCACCUUAACUCAAUCGUUCGCACCUGGCAUGAGCUAUGUACAAACCCCGUGUUCCAUCGCCUUCCAUGUGCUUUUCUGGAGUUUAGAGCCGCCCUCGGAGAGGAAGGAACAUGACGAAUUCUAACCGAUAUUAAC